GUUACUGCUAUCGGAGUUCGAUUAAGCCAUGCGAGUCUAAAGGUUUCUUCGGAAGCCUUGGCGGACUGCUCAGUAACACGUGGAUAACCUACCCUUAGGACCGGAAUAACCCCGGGAAACUGGGGAUAAUACCGGAUAAGCCAUAGACGCUGGAAUGCCCUAUGGUUCAAAGCUCCGGCGCCUAAGGAUGGAUCUGCGGUCUAUCAGGUUGUAGUGGGUGUAACGUACCUACUAGCCGACGACGGAUACGGGUUGUGAGAGCAAGAGCCCGGAGAUGGAUUCUGAGACACGAAUCCAGGCCCUACGGGGUGCAGCAGGCGCGAACACUUUACAAUGCGGGAAACCGCGAUAAGGGAACCCCGAGUGCCAGCAUCAAAUGUUGGCUGUCCGGAUGAUUAAAAAUCAUUUGUUAGCAAGGGCCGGGCAAGACCGGUGCCAGCCGCCGCGGUAACACCGGCGGCCCGAGUGGUAGCCGUUUUUAUUGGGUCUAAAGGGUCCGUAGCCGGCCUGAUAAGUCCUUUGGGAAAUCUGGCAGCUUAACUGUCAGGCUUCUAAGGGAUACUGUCAGGCUUGGGACCGGAAGAGGUAAGGGGUACUCCAGGGGUAGGAGUGAAAUCUUGUAAUCCCUGGGGGACCAUCUGUGGCGAAGGCGCCUUACCAGAACGGGUCCGACGGUGAGGGACGAAAGCUAGGGGAGCAAACCGGAUUAGAUACCCGGGUAGUCCUAGCUGUAAACGAUGCUCGCUAGGUGUCAGACACGGUGCGACCGUGUUUGGUGCCGCAGGGAAGCCGUUAAGCGAGCCACCUGGGAAGUACGGUCGCAAGGCUGAAACUUAAAGGAAUUGGCGGGGGAGCACUACAACGGGUGGAGCCUGCGGUUU
rnacentral:rRNA from 1 species